UACGAACCGUACAAACGUUAUUCGGAAUCUCUGGGCUUAAAGGGUGCGUAGGCGGCCAUGUAAGUGAGGUGUGAAAUCCCUCGGCUCAACCGAGGAACUGCGCUUCAUACUGCAUGGCUUGAGGGAGACAGGGGUAAGCGGAACUGAUGGUGGAGCGGUGAAAUUCGUAGAUAUUAGGAAGAACACCGGUGGCGAAGGCGGCCCACUGGUCCGGUACUGACGCUGAGGUGCGAAAGCGUGGGGAGCAAACAGG
rnacentral:rRNA from 1 species